UUCACCGGCCUGCUGAUAAUAAAGCUGCUGUAGAUGAACUGCUGUUCUGAGUCAAACAUGGUGUUGGGACUUGCUUCAAGGGUGUUUUUGAUCUGCCUGCUGUUUAGCACUGGUUGUGCUUUUCCUGUACCAGACUACAGGUAUCCCUACCCAGGUGGUGGACCUUCUUCUGAAUUGAACCUUCAGUUUGCAGGUUUUCCU